ensembl:lncRNA
AAAAGUUGAGGAAAGGAAGAAGAAAAGGAAGAAGAGUGAAAGAAGAAAGGAAAGAAGAGUAAAAGAAGGAAAGAAGAAAGGAAAGAAGAGUGAAGAAAGGAAAGAAGUGGAAGAAGGAAAGAAGAGUGGAAGAAGGAAAGAAUAAAGGAAAGAAGAGUGAAGAAAGGAAAGAAGAAAAGAAUGAAGAGUGGAAGAAGGAAAGAAGAAAGGAAAGAAGAGUGAAGAAAGGAAAGAAGAGUGGAAGAAGAAAAGAAGAAAGGAAAGAAGAGUAAAAGAAGGAAAGAAGAGUGGAGGAAGGAAAGAAGAGUGGAAGAAGGAAAGCAGAAAGGAAAGAAGAGUGGAAGAAGGAAAGAAUAAAGGAAAGAAGAAAAGAAAGAAGAGUGAAAGAAGAAAGGAAAGAAGAGUGAAAGAAGAAAGGAAAGAAGAGUGGAAGAAAAGAAAGAAGGAAAGAUGAAAGGAAAGAAGAGUGAAGAAAGAAAAGAAGAGUAGAAGAAGGAAAGAAGAGUUGAAGAAGGAAAGAAGAAAGGAAAGGAGAGUGGAAGAAGGAAAGAAGAGUGGAAGAACGACAGAAGAAGAGUGGAAGAAGGAAAGAAUAAUAUUCCUAGUUAUACAGUUAAAUGGAGAGGGACAGUGUUGAGAGGAGCCUUGGAACCUUGGCGCAGGUGUCAGU